GCUUACGGCCAUACCAGCCUGGGUACGCCCGAUCUCGUCUGAUCUCGGAAGCUAAGCAGGGUCGGGCCUGGUUAGUACUUGGAUGCGAGACCGCCUGGGAAUACCAGGUGCUGUAAGCA
rnacentral:rRNA from 1 species